rnacentral:ncRNA from 7 species
GUGUCCUAGAGGGGAAGUCCGAAGGCAGCUCGAGAUUCAAUGCUGGCUCAGGGGGGGCACCUAGUCGAACAGGAAGUGUAUGGCGGGGUGAGGUGGCACGAACCACCAAAGCCCAAUACUUGCACGUAACGUCAUGACGUGAAUCCGACAGGCAUAAGCGGACAAAUUCGUCG